GACGAAGGUGGCUAGCGUUGUUCGGAAUCACUGGGCUUAAAGAGCACGUAGGCGGCCUGUUAAGCACCUUGUGAAAUCCCCCGGCUUAACCGGGGAAUUGCUUGGUGUACUGGCAGGCUUGAGGCAAGUAAGGGCGCGUGGAACUCUUGGUGGAGCGGUGAAAUGCGUAGAUAUCAAGAGGAACGCCGGAGGCGAAAGCGAUGCGCUGGGCUUGUCCUGACGCUGAGGUGCGAAAGCCAGGGGAGCAAACGGG
rnacentral:rRNA from 1 species